UACGUAGGCAGCGAGCGUUGUUCGGAGUUACUGGGCGUAAAGAGUGCGUAGGCGGUUUUCUAAGUUUGGUGUGAAAUCUCCCGGCUCAACCGUGGAGGGUCAUUGGAAACUGGGGGACUUGAGUACAGAAGAGAAGAGUGGAAUUCCACGUGUAGCGGUGAAAUGCGUAGAGAUGUGGAGGAACACCAGUGGCGAAGGCGACUCUUUGGUCUGUAACUGACGCUGAGGCGCGAAAGCGUGGGGAGCAAACAGG
rnacentral:rRNA from 1 species